rnacentral:tRNA from 1 species
GUAAAUAUAGUUUAAGAAAAACACUAGAUUGUGAUUCUAGGAAUAGGGGUUAGAGUCCCCUUAUUCACCG